rnacentral:lncRNA from 1 species
UCUGAUAUUAAUUUAGUUGAACAUCCUGAAUCUAGCACAGGCCACACAACAUAAAGAAAACUAGCAAGUGAAAAAUUAAGCAACCUGAUGAGUCUAGCUUAACAGGUUCAAGUGGAGAAAGCAAACAACGACGCCAUGGAUUCUUAAGAACUUCAUCAACAUCAACCUUACAAAUCACCUAGUUCUGCUGCCCAGGAUAUGUUGCCUUUCGAAUGGCAUUCCUCAAAUCAAAACCAAACAACAAGCACGGAACUUUUUUCGCAUGGAUUUUGAAUCUAAUUCUGCCAACUUUAUCUUCUUCCUUGUAAAAGAUAACUUUAUCACCGGCCACCAGAUGUUUUUCUUUGACGAAACUGAUCCAGCCUUUGCUGAACACAGGCUUGUGAUGGCCUUUGUGGCGCUUGGUACAGAUGAAUUUCUUAACAGAAUUAUCUUCCCCGUCAAUAACAUCAAUGCCUUGAGAAAGAUCACCGUUUUGAAUUUGGAGAACUUCUCGGUAGCUUUUGAUUGGAAAAACCAUGCGGAAUUUCACAUCAGUAUUUGUGAGCUUCUUUCUGAAGAGAAUUUUACGCUUCAUAGCUAAAAAUGAGCUGAUGAGCAGAUUCUAUGAUCUUUCCAAGGUCUUCUGUCUGCAAUUUAUAGAAGAAUCACAGAAUUUGAUUGGUCCACGUGGGUCACCUUAUUCAAAGCAAAGUGGUCACAGCAGUCUCCGUUUGUAGAAUAUGCAAGUAUACCAUUGAACGAUUGAUGAUGUUGAAAUUUUAUCACACUCCACGGACAAAAGUAGUUCUGCGAUUAUCACUUAGCUUGAGCGUUUAGUUUUUAUUUUAACACUAAAAACUAAAAAAUCCUGUAUUUAUAUUAAGACAGUACCUAUUUCUUUAUUUAAUGGGUGAAGAAAAAUUGAAAAAUGGUGCUGGAUUUUCAGGGGCUCACGUGGCAUCAUUUCUGCCUGUGUAUCUUUUAUUCAUUAAUGUGCUGAAGCUAAAUUCGUUUUAAUUCAAAUGAUUAAGACAUCUCUUAAAUAUUAUUGUCUAAAAGUCUGAGAUCGGAAUCUUCCAUUCCCUUUUUCCGUAGUCCCAGCAUUUUAAAAAUGCUGCAUGUGAACGGAGAAUGAAUGGUACCCAAAAAAAUUUAUUAUUAUAUAUAUAUUGAUUUUCUUUUAAUUAUCAAAUUAUUUAUAACAUUAUCUAAUAAUUUUAUAUUAUCAAACUAUCACUUUAAUAAUUUAUAAUUUUUAUCUUAUAAAUUUGAUUGAAUUAUCAUUCAUUUUAAAAUAAUAUUUUAAAUAUCAUUAUUAAUAAUUUUAAAAUAUAUAUAUAAUUUUAAUCUUAUAAAUUCAAAUAUUUUAUUAAAUAAUUAAAAUUAUAAUAAUAUUUUAAUAUUUUCAUUAAAAUUUUGAAUUAUUAUAUAUUAUCGUCUAUUAUUCUACAAUCAUUUUUUAAUUUAAAAUUUUCAUUUAAUACUUUAAUAUUAUCAAAGUUAAAUUUAUAUUUUGAUAUUUUUAUUUAUUGAUGUAUAUAAUCAAAAUUUAAAUAUUUAUUUAUAAUAAAUAUUAAUUUUUUACUUUUAUAUUCAAAUAUAAUUAUUGAUAAUUAAAAGAAUAAUGUAUUAUCUAAUAUUCGAUAAAUAUUUAUUUAAAUAUUUUUAAAAUAUUUUUAAUCUCAAUUUUAAAUUUAUGUAUUUAUCUCAUCCAUUUAUAAAAAUUAAUAUAAAUGUAAUUAUUUUAAUUUAGUUUAUAUUAAUUUAUAAUUUAUCAUUUGAACAAUUUUUAAUUCUUAUUAAAUAUAUAAUUAUAUUUUAAAAUAUUUACAUGAUAAUAAAAGGUAACUUUGAAAUUAUUAAAUUUAUUAUUAUUACUAAAUAAUAAUCUAAUUAAAAUUCUUAACGGUUAGUAUUCAUUUAAAUUUAAUAAUUUACCAUUAUAAUUAAAAAAAAUUAAAUAAUAAUAAUAAUAAUAGAUAUUUAUCUCACUUUUAUUUAUAUUAUAAAUAUAUUCUACUCCAAAUAAAUAUAAUAAAUCAUAAAUAAAUUAAAAAUAAAUAUUAAAUACAUUAAUUUCAUAAAUAUUAACUAUUAUUAUUUAUAAAAUAAUAUCAACAAAAUCUUUUAAAUAGAUUUUUUUAUUUUGAAAUAGAGAUUUAAGAAAUAGAAUUUGAGAUCUCUCAGAUUUAUUUAGAUAUAUUUACCAUCAGAUUAUAGAAAUUCUUUAAAUGGUUAAAUUUUUUUUAUUUUGAAAUGGAUGGUUAAUUUUAUAUAGCUCUAUUAAUAAUGCUUUAAUAUUCUUUAAAUUUAUAUGAUAAGAUAAUUAAUGAAAAAUACCAUUUUUAAAUUUAAAUUUUAAAUUUAUAUGAUAAGAUAAUUAAUAAAAAAAUCAUUUUUAAUUUUAAAAGAGAAACUGUUUUAUUUAAUGUUUUGAUUAAAAACGAAUCAAAAUUAUAUUAUUUUAUAAAAUAAGUUUUAUAUUCAAAUAGAAAUUAUUUUAGCCAAUUAAAUUAAAGAUCUAAUUACAAUUAUCAAAUUUAACUACAUUCAUUAUUAAAAAUUUUAUUACUUUUUAUUUUUUAAAAUUUAAAUUUAAAAUAAAAUUAUUGAUUUCAAAUAAAUAUUUAAAAUAAUUUUUUCAAUUAUUAUUUUUUAUUUUUUAAAAUUUAAAUUUAAAAUAAAAGUAUUUGAACUCUUUUCAUUCUAAAAUAUAAAAGUUAUAGUAUGGUGUGAUUUUAAUAUACAAUUUAUUUUUAAUUUAUUAUUUUUAAAAAAUAAUUUAAUUUACGAUAAAAUUUCAAUAAAUAGAAUUUAAAUGUAAAAAAAGUAUUCUAUAAUAAAAUUUAAUAGAAAAUAUUGUCAAUAAAUUUAAAUUUAAAUAGAAUAAUAAUAUAAUUAAAUUAAAAUUUUUUAAAUAAUAACAAAUUAUAAUUAUUUUUUUAAAAAAUAUAAUUUAACUUAAUAUAAAAUUUAAAUACAAAUAAUUUAAAUAUUAAAAGAAUUCUUCCUUGAUAAAAUUUAUACUUUAAAUAUUAAGAGAUUUCCUCAAUCAAUUUGAAUUUAAAUAAAAUAUUAAUAUAAUUAAAUAAUUAAAUUAAAAAUUUUUAAUAACAAUAAAUUUGUAAUUAAUAAAACAUAGUAAGAGUACUUUAGGAGUUCAACUUAAAUUAUUUAAAUAUAUUAUUAAUAAUUAAAACAACACUAUAUUAUUUAAAAAUUUUAUAUUAUCAAAUUAUUUAUAUUUAUAUUUUUUAAUUAUUAAAUUAUUUAUAACAUUAUCUAAUAAUUUUAUAUUACCAAAUUAUCACUUUAAUAAUUUAUAAUUUUUAUCUUAUAAGUUUGAUUGAAUUAUCAUUCACUUUAAAAUUUAAAUAUCAUUUUUAAUAAUUUUAAAAGCAAUAUUUAUAUAUAUAUUAUAUAAUUUUAAUCUCAUAAAUUUAAAUGUUUUAUUAAAUAAUUAGAUUAUAAUAAUAUUUUAAUAUUUUCAUUAAAAAUUGAAUUAUCAUUAUUCGAUAACUUAAUUUUUUAUCUAUCAUUUAUUAUUCUACAAUGUUUUCUAAUUUAAAAUUUUUAUUUAAUAAUAUAAUAUUAUCAAAUUAAAAUUAUUUCAAUAAUAUUAUCUUAAUUUUGAUAUUUUUAUUUAUUAAUGCAUAUAAUCAAAAUUUAAUUAUUUAUUUAUAAUAAAUAUUAAUUUUUCACUUUAAUAUUGAAAUAUAAUAAUUCAUAUUUAAAAGAAUAAUAUAAAAAUUAUACUUUUAUUAAAAUUAAUAAUAUAUAAAUAAUUUAAAUUGAGAUGUAAUGCAAGUCAGCAAUAAAAAGCUCACCAAAUCAUUGAAAAUAAGAAUCUAAACUACGGCCGAGCAAUAUUCGGUUCAAACUGAAAAAAUUGAUCGAAUCGAAUCGAUUUGAAAAUUUGAUUCGAUUUUUUAUAUAUUUAGAUUCGGUUCGGUUUUUAAUUUCAGAAAUUUCAGUAAUUUCAGUUAUUUUAGUUCGGUUCGAUUUUUAUCAGAAGAAAACUGAAAAAAACUGAAAAAACCAUCGAUUAGUGAUAAUAAUAUGUUUUUUCAAUAAUAUAGAGAAAUUAAAUCAUAGUAAAAUUAAAAUAUUUUAAUUAAAUUUUAAAAUACUAAAAAUAAAGUAUAAAAAAUAAAAAAAUUAUUAAAAAUUAAAAUCGAUCAAACCGAACCGAAUCAGAUCGAUUCAGUUUUUAACCAAAAUCGAUUUGGUUCGAUUUUUAUAAAUAGUAAAAUUUCGGUUUUUGGUUUAUUCAGUUUGGUUCGAUUUUAAACCGAACCGACCGAAUGAUCACCCUAAUCUAAACUAUUAAAUACUUAUAUGAUUACUAAGGACACAUACUAAUAAAUAUUUAUUUUUCUUUCUUUACCAUUUUCAUGAGGUAUUUAUAUGAAAAAAAUAUUAUAUAUUUUAAAUUUAAAAAUUAUAUAUAUGUAUUUAAAUUACAUUUUAUAUGAACUGAAAAAUUAAAUUAAAUAUAGAUCGAUCUAAUAAUAAAAAAAUUAUAAAAUCAAAGAUUACUUUUAACUUUUUAAAUUUUAUUUAAAUAAAUAUUUAAAUAAAAUACAUAAUAACAUAAUUUUUUUUCUUGAAAUGAAAUCAGAAGAGUAAAAUUUAAAAUCUCUCAGAUUUACUUAAAUACACUUAUUAUCAAACUAAAUUUAUGAGUGCGUAAUAACAUAAAUUUUAUAAAUUAUAAAAAUAAUAAAUUAAAGUAAAAAAAAUUCAGUAUAGGUAUACAAAAUCGAAUCCAAUAUAAAUCUAAAUUAGUAAAUUUUAAUAAAAAAAUUAAUUUUUUUUAAUUAUCAUAUAUAUAUAUAUAUAUAUAUAUAUAUCAAAAACUAUAAAUUUAUAAAUUUAAUGGUAAACAUAUUAAAAAUUUAAUGUUAUUAUAUUUUAUAUAUCUUUCUGAAAUUUUUCUUUAAAUAACUAAAAUUAAUAUAAAAUAUAAUAUUGUCAUCUAUUUUUAAAAAUAAUAUAAAAAAGUAUUUUAUUGAAUUUACAAUUGUAUUUAUACAAUAACUCUAUUUAAAUUUAACGACAAUUAUUAUAUUCUAUAUGAUAUAAUAAUGAUAUGCCAUUAUAAAAAGUCUAAACUACAAAUAUUAUUAAUUAAUUAAUUAAUUAAUUAUUAAUAAAUAAAUCAUUUUCAUAUAUAUUUAAAUACAAGUAAUUUAAAUAUUCCAUUUCAAAAAAAAAGUAAUUUAAAUAUUAAGAGAAUUCUUUAUUGAUAAAAUUUAAUUAAAUAUUAUUUAAAUAUUAAGAGAUUUCUUAAUUAAUUUGAAUUUAAAUAAAAUACUAAUACAAUUAAAUAAUUAAAUUAAAAAAUUUUAAAUAGCAAUAAAUUUAUAAUUAACAAAAUAUUAUAGGAGUAAUUUAAAAAAUUCUAAUAUUCCCUUUUUUUUCACUUUUAUAUAUGGUAAUGGAUUAAAUUAUUCAUAUAAUUUAAAUAUAACUUUCUCUGCAUUUAUUAUUUUAACUAUAAAAUAUAUUAAUUAUUUUAUAACUUUUAGUUAUAUGAGUGAAUCAUAUAUUAGUAAUUAAUAAUUAUUAUAUUUGUAUAGUUUUAAUAUUUUAAAAUACUUAGAUUUUAAGUUUAAUUCUACGAGAGCAGAUUGAUUUAUUUAAAUUUUAAUAUUUUGAUGGAAUAAACAAGAAUCGGAGAAUAAUGAAAGAAAAAUCAUAUUGGAACUCUAUAUUAUAAAAUUAAAAAAAAAGUUGUGAGUAUAAUCAAAUUCACAAAAGAAUAAGAAAACAGAGUCAUAUUGAACUCUAAUUCUUAGACAUACUGUGUUAUGGAGUAUGUUAUGGAUAUAACGUAUUUAAUGAGAUGAUAAGCGAUAAAAAAAUCUCCAUCUGCUAAGGCAUAUCAGACUCGACCAUUUGGUAUUUAGAUUGAAUUAGAAUUUUUAAUAUUAUAAAAAGAUUAUAUUUUGAUGUACAUAUCAUCUUUUUGCUCUGAAUUAAUUUUAAAAGGCUGAAAACACUCUUUUUCUUGUUAUGUUUCAGCUAUGAAUAUGUAUAUCUAAAUCCUCUUUUCAGUUGAAGUUUAUUUGGUUAUGAGAUCUAAUUCAUUUUAUUAUUUUUUAUUAUCUUUUAGUAUUUAUAUUGCUUCUAUGAUUAGUGCUUAUUAUUAUUUUAUUUAGUGUUAUAAUAAAGGUCCAUUGUGAAAUUAUUAGAAUAAUAUAUUGUUAUUUAAAUUAGAUUUUAUAAUACCUUUCUAAGAAAUAAUAUAAUCUAAUUUAAAUAAAUCGAGCGUCUCGUAUUUGUUAGUUACCUGUACAUGACAGGGUCAUGUCACUAUUAGCUGUGAAUCACUGUUUAUUUUGAGGUCGGUUGCCACCAACUUCUGAAGCUAUUUGCAUUCCAUUUAGAAGAGUUUCAUAGUCUACCAUAUUAUUAGAUGCUGAAAAUCCAAAGCACAGGGCAUAAUAUACUUUGAACUCAUCAGGUCCUUUAAGAAGAAUUCCUACCCCACUACCUGUGGAGCUCGAUGCCCCAUCCACAAACAGAUUCCACAUGAAUUCAUGAUGGUGUUGACUCCCCUCUCCUUCUUCUACUGAACUCGACAAUGCAUUAUUUUAUUUUUUUCUUAUUUGAACUGAAUGAGCAUUCAGCUAUAAAGUCAACUAAGGCUUGGACUUUGAUUGCGGCCCAAGGUCGGUAAAUAAGGCAUUACGGGCUGAUUUCUACCGACCAUGCUAGCAUUUAUCAUGAAAUUUCAAGGGCUGAUCAGUUAUCAGUACUCCCUAGUCGUCUUUUAGAUACAUCCUGAAUUUACUUAAUGACAAUAAUUGUAAUAUCCGGCUAAGCUUCGGCGUCGAAAUUUCAGCCCACCGAUGCAAUCUCCAUUGGAAUCUGGAAGCUCGAGCCUAGAUUCCCUUAGAAGGGUAAAAUAAGAUUUUUAUAAAAUGUAUUUUGAAUAUUUUAAGGUUUUAAGAAAGGAAGAAAAGAGUUUUUGAAAGAAAAAUGUUUUGGAAGGAAAACCCAUGUUCGGCCGCCGAACAUGGUGCUGCCGCGGGAGCUCUCCUUUCGACCCUCGAAGGUGGUCUGGCCAGCCACAUAUAAGAGGCCUCCAGUCCGAAAAUGGGAGAGUUUUUCUCUCCAUUUUCGAGUAAAGGUGAGUUCUUGCCCUUCCUUUGAUGAUUUUAUGUUUUUUUUUCAAAUCUUUCAAAUUUUUAUGAGUAUUUCUCUUGAACCAUUCCUUUAAUUAUUUGAUAAUAUCUAAUUGAACCAUUCAAUACCAUUCAUAUUUUUUUUAUAUCAAGAUAUAGAGAUUUAUCAUAGGGGUAAAACCUAGAGAUAUAAUCCAAAAUACAUGAGGUCAAAGUAAAAACCAAGUUUUGCAGCCUAAUUUUACUAAAAAAAAGAGCCAUGGCCCAAAAACAAAAAUAAACCCUAGAGUUUUGAGGUUCUCCAUAGCUUCACCACCGUCCUCCUUUUAAAAACUUCCACCGUCUGACCGUAAACAAUUCAUUGAUUACCAUUGAUACAAAGACAAUAAACUGAAGAAUAGGCAUUGAUACAAAGACAAUAUAUUGAAGAAUAGGCUAUAAAAAAAGAAGAAAUGAUCAUAGCUAACAGUCAAGAAUCUCAAAACAGAAAGUAACACAGAACCACCACCAAGAAAGCAUUAUUCACCAUUAUUCUAUAACAAAUAAAAGAGAAUCACAGAUAAAGCACAAAAUAAGAGUAAAACCUUAAACUGAGAAGAAAACUCAGAACUAAGAAGAGGGAUUAAAACAACUAUGAAAAUAACAUCUUUGAGUCACUGUCAAUGGAAGAUGAUGAUCAAAACGCCUUCAUCAUCUUGUGUUAAAGGUCACUUUGCAUGCAAGCCAAUAUCAACCCCAAGCAAUAACUAUUGUGCAAAAAUUGAAAUCCUUCUAACGAUCUGAGUCUCAAGAGAACUGGACUAGUAGGAAUAAAGAAACUCUCACCGAAAAGCUCAUAUGUGCUCCCGAAGAAAAACAAAAAAAAAAAAAAAACAAAUCAGAAAUUAAAACUAACAAACAAAAUAAAAACAAAUCUCAUCCAAAAGAGAGGGCAAACCCACAAUAUUGACGGAGAAGAAAAAAGCCUUCCAUACCUAGAGAAGUCGAGGAAGUCGUAAAAUUGACAAAGAAAAAGGACUAAAGUCUUAAAUAAAAAAAUAAAAAAUGAGAGAAAAAUAUCUCUCUAAUUUUUUUUUUUACCAAAGUUAUAAAAAAAUUAAAAAUUAAGAGAAUAUAAAAUAUGAGAUUUCUCAAAUUUAUUACUAAUAAAAUAAGUUUAAAUACACUUACGUUUUUUAAUAUCAUCUAAUUUAUCAUAUGUAUUAUGGAUAGAUUUAUUAUUUAUUAUAGAUAGGUUUGUUACUGUACCAAUUGGUUAAAUUUUUUUUUUAUAUAUUUAAUUCAGUUAAAUUUAUUUUGAUAUACUUACUAAUACGUUAAAUUUAUAUAGACUUAUUUUUUUUAAUACCAUUUAAUUUAUUAUAUGUAUUAUAGAUAGGUUUGUUAUUUAUUGAAACAUCCUUAUCUAUUUAUCUUUUUGAAAAGAAAGACCAUAAUUGAAAUUUGUGUCCACUCAUUAACAUAGAUAUAAGUUGUGUUGUACCGAUUGAUUAAAAAUUUUUUUUUAUAUAUUUAAUUUUGUUGACUAAAUUGAAUUAUACUUUUUCAUGAAGAAAAUUAGAAAUUAAAAUUUUAUUUAAUUUUUUUAAAAGAACAUCUCAUUCUAUGAAAGUUUUAUUAAUUCUCAUUUGUAAGGCUCUAUGUAUACACGCGCAUGGUAUAAGGGAUCCCCAUAUGCCCAUACUUAGGGCCGAGCAGAAUCCGGUUCAAACCGAAAAAACCGACCGAACCGAACCGAUUUGAAAAUUUAGUUCGGUUUUUUAUACAUUUCGGUUCGGUUCGGUUUUAAAUUUCAGAAAUUCCGGUUAUUUCGGUUCGGUUCGGUUUUAAUCAGAAAAAAACCGAAAAAACCAAACCGAACCGAUUAGGGAUAAUAAUAUAUUUUUUCAAUAAUAUAGAGAAAUUAAAUUAUAUUAAAAUUAAAAUAUUUUAAUUAAAUUUUAAAAUACUAAAAAUAAAGAGUAAAAAAUUAAAAAAAUAUUAAAAAUGGAAACCGAUCAAACCGAACCGAAUCGAACCGAAUCAGACCGGUUUGGUUCGAUUCGUUUCUGACCAAAAUCGGUUCGGUUCGGUUUUCAUAAAAACUAAAAUUUCGAUUUUCGGUUCGGUUCGGUUUUGAACCGAACCGACCGAAUGCUUACUUUCACUCAGUUUUUUUUUUUUUUUUUUUUUUAAUUUGGUUCGAUUUUAAAAUAAUUACACUAUAUUUAAAUUUUAAUAGUAAUUAAUUUACAUUCAAAGAGAAUAAUGUUGUUUGCAAAUAAAAAGAAAUAAAUUUAAUUAUUUAAUAAUUAAUUUGUUCAUAUAUUAAUUUUAAGUGAUAAAAUUUUUAUUAAAUGAUAUAUUUUAAAAAUUUAAAAUUAAAUUUAAAUCAAUCCAAUAAUCCAUAUUUUCAAUCCGAACCAGACAAAGGUUAAGUCUAGAUAUAUGUUUCUUCUUAGGAUUAUUUAUCCUAAACUAUGGGAGUGUGCCUUAAGAGGGAAAGAAAUAAAAAUAUAUAAAUAUAAGAUAUCUUCUGAUAUUAAUUUAGCUGAACAUCCUGAAUCUAGCACAGGCCACACAACAUAAAGAAAAUUAACAAGUGAAAAAUUAAGCAACCUGAUGAGUCUAGCCUAACAGGUUCAAGUGAAGAAAGCAAACAACGACGCCAUGGAUUCUUAACAACUUCAUCAACAUCAACCUUACAAAUCACCUAGUUCUGCUGCCCGGGAUAUGUUGCCUUUCGAAUGGCCUCCCUCAAAUCAAAACCAAACAACAAGCACGGAACUUUUUUCGCAUGGAUUUUGAAUCUAAUUCUGCCAACUUUAUCUUCUUCCUUGCAAAAGAUAACUUUAUCACCGGCCACCAGAUGUUUUUCUUUGACGAAACUGAUCCAGCCUUUGCUGAACACAGGCUUGUGAUGGCCUUUGUGGCGCUUGGUACAGAUGAAAUUCUUGACAGAUUUAUCUUCCACGUCAAUAACAUCAAUGCCUUGAGAAAGAUCACCGUUUUGAAUUUGCAGAACUUCUCGGUAGCUUUUCAUUGGAAAAACCAUGCGGAAUUUCACAUCAGUAUGUGUCAGCUUCUUUCUGAAGAGAACUGUGCGCUUCAUAGCUAAUAAUGAGC